rnacentral:rRNA from 1 species
CGGUAACAGCUCAAAUUUGAAAGCUAGCUCUUUUAGGGUUCGCAUUGUAAUUUGUAGAAGAUGCUUCGGGUGUGGCUCCGGUCUAAGUUCCUUGGAACAGGACGUCAUAGAGGGUGAGAAUCCCGUAUGCGGCCAGGUGCCUACGCUCAUGUGAAGCUCCUUCGAC